rnacentral:rRNA from 1 species
AGCAGCCGCGGUAAUUCCAGCUCCAAUAGCGUAUAUUAAAGUUGCUGCAGUUAAAAAGCUCGUAGUUGAAUUUCGGGACUAAUAUGUCGGUCGUGCCUCGGUACGCACUGGCUUAUUGGUUUCUCCUUUCUGAAGAACCAUGAUGUCAUUAAUUUGGUGUCUUGGGGAAUCAGGACUGUUACUUUGAAAAAAUUAGAGUGUUUAAAGCAGGCUCACGCUUGAAUACAUUAGCAUGGAAUAAUGAAAUAGGACGUUUGAUUCUAUUUUGUUGGUUUCUAGGAUCGACGUAAUGAUUAAUAGGGAUAGUUGGGGGCAUUAGUAUUCAAUUGUCAGAGGUGAAAUUCUUGGAUUUAUUGAAGACUAACUACUGCGAAAGCAUUUGCCAAGGAUGUUUUCAUUAAUCAAGAACGAAAGUUAGGGGAUCGAAGACGAUCAGAUACCGUCGUAGUCUUAACCAUAAACUAUGCCGACUAGGGAUCGGAUGAUGUUAAUUUUUUUAAUGACUCAUUCGGCGCCUUAC